rnacentral:lncRNA from 1 species
AAUUACAUUUAUUUUUUUUUAAAUUUUAUUUAUUUAUGAUAGGCACACAGUGAGAGAGAGAGAAGCAGAGACAUAGGCAGAGGGAGAAGCAGGCUCCAUGCACCGGGAGCCCGACGUGGGAUUCGAUUCAAGGUCUCCAGGAUCGCGCCCCGGGCCAAAGGCAGGCGCCAAACCACUGCGCCACCCAGGGAUCCCGGCAAAUUACAUUUAAAAGGAAAUUCUCAAUGCCAGUUGUGUGCUGACUGCCUGCUGCUUCCCAAGAAUGGACAUGUGAUUUGCCUCCAGACCCCUGAAUAGACAUAUAGUCACAAUUAUAUAUCAGAAAAGGAGGAGAAAAUGAAAGCUCAAGAAAACAGCAAAAUUAUACAUGUAUGGUGAGUUAGCAAGAGGCAUGGAUAUAUAUAUAUUUUUAGUAAUACUAAAAACCUACUCUAACCCAAUUAAACACAAACUUCA